rnacentral:rRNA from 1 species
UACGUAGGGUGCAAGCGUUGUCCGGAAUUAUUGGGCGUAAAGAGCGUGUAGGCGGCCAUACAGGUCAGCUGUGAAAACUCGAGGCUCAACCUCGAGACGUCGGUUGAAACCGUAUGGCUAGAGUCCGGAAGAGGAGAGUGGAAUUCCCGGUGUAGCGGUGAAAUGCGCAGAUAUCGGGAAGAACACCCGUGGCGAAGGCGGCUCUCUGGGACGGUACUGACGCUGAGACGCGAAAGCGUGGGAGGCGAACAGGA